rnacentral:rRNA from 1 species
GACCCUAUGGGACGCAGCAGUGGGGAAUAUUGCACAAUGGGGGAAACCCUGAUGCAGCGACGCCGCGUGAGUGAAGAAGUAAUUCGUUAUGUAAAGCUCUAUCAGCAGGGAAGAAAAUGACGGUACCUGAGUAAGAAGCCCCGGCUAACUACGUGCCAGCAGCCGCGGUAAUACGUAGGGGGCAAGCGUUAUCCGGAUUUACUGGGUGUAAAGGGUGCGCAGGCGGUCCUGCAAGUCUGGAGUGAAACGCAUGAGCUCAACUCAUGCAUGGCUUUGGAAACUGGAGGACUGGAGAGCAGGAGAGG